UUCUGACUUUUGAAUUCUGUUGUUGCUUGUUCUUGUUCCUAGGCAAAGGAAUUGUGUGUUUUGAAGCCACAGACAUAGAGAAGGCAGAGGCUACAUGGCUGUCAGAGGAAGCUUGAAUUGGUUAGUUCCAGGUUGACCUUCGUAUGGAGUAAUUCAUUAAUGUGUUCAUUUACUGAAUGCAGCUGUUCUAAGGACUAUGUUGGAUGACGGAGAUAGAGAGAUAAUCUCUGAUAUGUCUUUAUCAACAGCAUGAAAAUGGACCAAUACAAAGACCUUCUGGCUGCCCCAGUGGAGGGCAGAUGACCAAGGGUGGAUAGCAGGAGGCUGCUGUACCACACAGAAGCAAAAGUGCGACAAGUGACUUUAUUCACCAGCAAAUAGAAUUGCUCAGAUGAACAACAUAUAAAUUCCGGCAGCUACCAAGUCAUUUUUGUAGCAUUAUCUCCAGAAAUCUUUAGAAUUUGAAAAGGGAAAUAAUAAAAGCCUAGUAAAUAGACAGCAAGAUCAGAUGCUGAGGGGUGUGUAGGAAGAAUGAAACAAUUAGUCAGAGCUUGAAUGCCCAGUGCCUUCUAAGUGACCAUGAAUAUUCAGGUAAAUGUGUCUGGCUGGAAGAUUACUGAAACAGCAGGCAACCAGUGGACAAAAUGUACUCAAGUAAAUCUUUAAUUAAUAGACAACGUGGUAUUGACUGAUGCCCUGUUAGGUUCUAAGCCUCGGUGUACAGAUGGGAGCCAACAUCCAGGCAAAAGAUUAAAUAUUCAGUAACCAUCUGGAUAGGCCUUGCCAACACACCAGACGUCUGGAUUGUUAGAAACAUCUGGAAUACUGACCUGACCUGCUUUUUGUAUGUAAGUCGGCAGCGUUGCAAGUCCAGCCACAGGGACUGGGAAGGGUUACAAUUAUCCACCUGCUCUAGUAGGAGCCCAGAGAAAUCUAUGUUCAGGUAAUUUGGAUAGAUUUCAAUGCCAACACUUCCAUUACCAAUAAUCUAGUUUUUCUUUUUUUAUGCAAAAGACUUGACCUUAGAGUGUUAUGCUAAAAUACCAAUGCCUUUUUACGUCAGUUGUCUCUUCAAAGUACAUCUAAAUUUCUGUCUCCUUAAGUAUGGUCAGCAGCUCAUUAUCUCACCAUGUAAAUUUUAGUGACUUCUGAAAUUAUCCUUCUUUGGACUGAGGCAUCUAAGACAGGAACACCUGCCUUUGCUGAAGUCAGGGGCUUUCACAGUUCCUGGCAGAGUUGACUUUGCUUAUUGCUUCCUCUUAGAUGCCAGGAACGAGUGCUUCCCUGCCUGGUCUCCUCCAGCCUCAAAAUAGGAUUAGAACUAGAAUUUUAAGGGUGAUCACUAAGGCCUGAUCAAUAAUCUUCUUAGAGACACUGAAAGCCAACUUGGAGGAAAGCUAUGAAGAUGAUAGAAAAUUCAGGAGCCUCAGAGUCUCACAGUUGAGACGGCCUCUGCCUAUGCACUGAGUACAUCUACAAGGCAGUGGAGUUCUAUUUUUUGAAGUGAGUGGAGAAAGCAAAUCAGAAUAACUAACAAAAGGAACACAUUUCCUCUGUUUUAAGACUUCUUUUCCAGUUAAUCAAGUCACUCUUCAGUCUGCUAAAUACAAGACUCUGUUGUAACUUAAAGGAUGACAUCCUCAUCAAAAUAUUUGGGGAUGUCACUCUGUAUUGUAUUGGCUUUAGAUUUACGAGACAUGAGUUCAAAUCCUGAUUCUGCUACUUCCUAACUGUUGGAUGUUUUUAAGCCUAAAGUUUCUCAUCUGUAAAGUGGAAUUGGUAGAAGACACAUCGUACAGGAUUUUUCUGAGGAUUAAAUGUGAUAAUUAACGAAAUGAUUAACAUACUACUUAGCACUUAAGGAAAAUUAACUGUUGAGUUUUAAAUAAAAGGAAACCUAUCUUGAAUUUUUUUGAAAAUAAAAUAUCACCUCUAAAUUAUUAUUUGUAUGAAUUUUUUUGAUAUUCACAUAUGAAAGUGUACUUAGGGUCAUAUAGACCUCUAUAAUAUGAUAACAUUGCUCUUGAGUUUUUUGUGUUUUU
rnacentral:lncRNA from 10 species